GAUGAACGCUGGCGGCGUGCCUAAUACAUGCAAGUCGAGCGAACAGACGAGGAGCUUGCUCCUCUGACGUUAGCGGCGGACGGGUGAGUAACACGUGGAUAACCUACCUAUAAGACUGGGAUAACUUCGGGAAACCGGAGCUAAUACCGGAUAAUAUAUUGAACCGCAUGGUUCAAUAGUGAAAGACGGUUUUGCUGUCACUUAUAGAUGGAUCCGCGCCGCAUUAGCUAGUUGGUAAGGUAACGGCUUACCAAGGCAACGAUGCGUAGCCGACCUGAGAGGGUGAUCGGCCACACGGGAACUGAGACACGGUCCAGACUCCUACGGGAGGCAGCAGUAGGGAAUCUUCCGCAAUGGGCGAAAGCCUGACGGAGCAACGCCGCGUGAGUGAUGAAGGUCUUCGGAUCGUAAAACUCUGUUAUUAGGGAAGAACAAAUGUGUAAGUAGCUAUGCACGUCUUGACGGUACCUAAUCAGAAAGCCACGGCUAACUACGUG
rnacentral:rRNA from 1 species